UGUACAGAUUGUCUCUUCUGCUGGCUCCGCCGCGGCUCGUGGCUGUCUCUCUCCCUGAGUGCCUGUCCCCAGUCCCCUGUCCCCGUCCGUGCGUCUCUCUCAGGCUCCGGCGGCUUCGUCACUGCUCUCGGCUGUUCCCAGCCGCUCUGGAAGCCCCCUAGCCUUAAUGCAGCGCUCGACGACGUCACUGCGGGCGGCGGCCAAUCAGAGACUCGCGGUCCCUCUGUAAACCAUUAUCCAUCCCGGCGGCCGGGGAGAGUGCAGCGCGACCGCUUAUAGUGAAUCAACCGCGGGACCCGCGGCAAAGUACGCGGCGCGACGUGGCGCAGCGGCCCGGGGACCAGUCCUGACCCGCUCUAGGAGUACGGCGUCCACUUCCCAACGCUUUGGAACAUGAUUUACUGGGCUCUUGUCAACUCCCCUUCCUCAGGACCCAGGGCUGACUCGGAAUCUUCACCAGUCCCGGGGUCAUUUCCCGCCAGGAGACAGCUAGUACCACUAGGCUCCCGAAAGACAGUUUCCUGGCCUGAUCAGAAUGAAGAACACAUGAUAAUUGUCUGGUAUGAAGAACGGGAGCUAUCACCCAAGGUCCACGACUGACAUGUUUUGCCCUCCAGGUGCAUGAAAUGGCCCUCCCAUGCCCCAAACAGAUACAAGGAGGGUGGACCCCUCACUUGGGGUCUGGCAAAUGAAGAGAACGAAGGGAGCAGAUACCAAGUGGGAUGACAUUGGACUGGAGGAAGAAAGGGAAGAUGACCUCCUGAAAGGCCUGAGCAGCAAUAGAGCUCUCAGAUGAUCCUUACUGCCAUGUGUUGCCCUGAAUUGUCUGACAGGCUUUAAUUGUGUCUGCUCUCAAUAACCUGUGUACUCCCAUUUGCCAAAUGCUGCUCUGCCAAAGCAUCCUCAAAUAAACUUGCUUAAAAUGAUGUCAGGGCCUUGCAUGGGCUAUUUAAUUCUAUCAAUGAUAAACAAUGUUAAUGUGUAACAUUCCAGACUCCACGAUGUCAUGUUUCAUUUAUAUAUGCCCAUACAUAUUUAAGCAGGAAAGAUAGAUUACAGAUGUGUAUUUUUCUACUAGUUACUUAUGUGAAAUGCAAUGAAAAAGACAGAAAUCUCAUAACCUGGCGAAUGUACCUAUAUGCCUUCUUUGCACACAUGGAUUUUUAUAUUCCUACCCAUCGUUAUGCAGUUAUAGAUGGAUAUGGGCAUGCACUGUGGUGCAAUUAGAUAGAUAUCCGAGGGCUCUCGGUACAUUUUCUGGCACCACCAGAAAUUUCCACAUUUUUCUUGUGAAUGCAACCACACACACUAAAUAAAGCAUAACACAUACUAUUGUAAUAUGAUAUAUUAAUGUAGAAUAAUAUAUUACAAUGUAAUGUACUACAUUAAUAUUAUAUCACCACUUAACUAUAUUAUAUAUCAAUUAUGGUAAUAUAUAUUUACUGUUAUAUUAAGACAUAGUGGGGUAUCAGAUAGAGUAGACAUGUUUUUUUUUCCUGAGGCAAUUAGGGUUAAGUGACUUGCCCAGAGUCACACAGGAGCAGACACUCCAUCUUUUUUGCUUCAGAGACCUUUGGCAACAGUCUGGUGAAUACUGAGGAGCCCUUCACUGAAUAAUAUUAUUAAAGGUAUGACAUAAAAUACAUAGGAUCACAAGGCAACCAAUUACAUUGAAAUAUAUCAUUAUCAAAAUAUUUUUUAAAUGAGUUCAAAGUCCCAGAUUAAGGGCCCUGGAAUAGAUUAUAAUAUAAUAUU